rnacentral:rRNA from 1 species
UACGGGGGGGGCAAGCGUUGUUCGGAAUUACUGGGCGUAAAGGGCUCGUAGGCGGCCAACUAAGUCAGACGUGAAAUCCCUCGGCUUAACCGGGGAACUGCGUCUGAUACUGGAUGGCUUGAGUUUGGGAGAGGGACGCGGAAUUCCAGGUGUAGCGGUGAAAUGCGUAGACAUCUGGAGGAACACCGGUGGCGAAGGCGGCGUCCUGGACCAAUACUGACACUGAGUGAGCGAAAGCCAGGGGAGCAAACGGG